GGGGAUGUAGCUCAAUAUUCAGCACUUGCUUCCCAUGCAGGAAGCCCUGGGUUUGAUCCCCAGCACCACCA
rnacentral:tRNA from 1 species